ensembl:misc_RNA Metazoa_SRP Metazoan signal recognition particle RNA
GCUGGGCGCGGUGGCUCACGCCUGUAAUCCCAGUACUUUGGGAGGCCGAGGUGGGUGGAUCACCUGAGGUCAGGAGUUCAAGACCAGCCUGGCCAACAUGGUGAAACCCCGUCUCUA